rnacentral:rRNA from 1 species
GAUGAACGCUGGCGGCGUGCCUAAUACAUGCAAGUCGAGCGAACGGACGAGAAGCUUGCUUCUCUGAUGUUAGCGGCGGACGGGUGAGUAACACGUGGAUAACCUACCUAUAAGACUGGGAUAACUUCGGGAAACCGGAGCUAAUACCGGAUGAUAUUUUGAACCGCAUGGUUCAAAAGUGAAAGACGGUCUUGCUGUCACUUAUAGAUGGAUCCGCGCUACAUUAGCUAGUUGGUAAGGUAACGGCUUACCAAGGCAACGAUGCAUAGCUGAACUGCGAGGGUGAUCGGCCACACUGGAACUAAGACAAGCUACAGACUACUACGGUAGGCAGCAGUAGGGACUCUUCCGCAAUGGGCGAAAGCCUGACGGAGCAACACCGCGUGAAUGAUGAAGGUCUUCGGAUCGUAAAACUCUGUUAUUAGGGAAGAACAUAUGUGUAAGUAACUGUGCACAUCUUGACGGUACCUAAUCAGAAAGCCACGGCUAACUACGUG